ACCACCGGCGGACGGCUCAGUAACACGUCGGUAACCUACCCUCGGGAGGGGGAUAACCCCGGGAAACUGGGGCUAAUUCCCCAUAGGCCUGAGGUACUGGAAGGUCCUCAGGCCGAAAGGGACUUAUGUCCGCCCGAGGAUGGGCCGGCGGCCGAUUAGGUAGUUGGUGGGGUAAUGGCCCACCAAGCCGAAGAUCGGUACGGGCUGUGAGAGCAGGAGCCCGGAGAUGGACACUGAGACACGGGUCCAGGCCCUACGGGGCGCAGCAGGCGCGAAACCUCCGCAAUGCGGGAAACCGCGACGGGGGGACCCCGAGUGCCGUGGCAACGCCACGGCUUUUCCGGAGUGUAAAAAGCUCCGGGAAUAAGGGCUGGGCAAGGCCGGUGGCAGCCGCCGCGGUAAUACCGGCGGCCCGAGUGGUGGCCGCUAUUAUUGGGCCUAAAGCGUCCGUAGCCGGGCCCGUAAGUUCCUGGCGAAAUCCCACGGCUCAACCGUGGGGCUUGCUGGGGAUACUGCGGGUCUUGGGACCGGGAGAGGCGGGGGGUACCCCUGGGGUAGGGGUGAAAUCCUAUAAUCCCAGGGGGACCGCCAGUGGCGAAG
rnacentral:rRNA from 1 species